CUAUCAGCUUGUUGGUGGGGUAAUGGCCUACCAAGGCGACGACGGGUAGCCGACCUGAGAGGGUGAUCGGCCACACUGGGACUGAGACACGGCCCAGACUCCUACGGGAGGCAGCAGUGGGGAAUAUUGCACAAUGGGCGCAAGCCUGAUGCAGCGACGCCGCGUGGGGGAUGACGGCCUUCGGGUUGUAAACCUCUUUCACCAGGGACGAAGCGUGAGUGACGGUACCUGGAGAAAAAGCACCGGCCAACUACGUGCCAGCAGCCGCGGUAAUACGUAGGGUGCGAGCGUUGUCCGGAAUUACUGGGCGUAAAGAGCUCGUAGGCGGUUUGUCGCGUCGUCUGUGAAAUUCUGCAACUCAAUUGUAGGCGUGCAGGCGAUACGGGCAGACUUGAGUACUACAGGGGAGACUGGAAUUCCUGGUGUAGCGGUGAAAUGCGCAGAUAUCAGGAGGAACACCGGUGGCGAAGGCGGGUCUCUGGGUAGUAACUGACGCUGAGGAGCGAAAGCGUGGGGAGCGAACAGGAUUAGAUACCCUGGUAGUCCACGCCGUAAACGGUGGGUACUAGGUGUGGGACUCUUUUCACGGGUUCCGUGCCGUAGCUAACGCAUUAAGUACCCCGC
rnacentral:rRNA from 1 species